UACGAAGGGGGCUAGCGUUGCUCGGAAUUACUGGGCGUAAAGGGUGCGUAGGCGGCGCGGUAAGUCGGGUGUGAAAUCUCGGGGCUUAACUCCGAAACUGCAUUCGAUACUGCCGUGCUUGAGGACUGGAGAGGAGACUGGAAUUUACGGUGUAGCGGUGAAAUGCGUAGAUAUCGUAAGGAAGACCAGUGGCGAAGGCGGGUCUCUGGACAGUUCCUGACGCUGAGGCACGAAGGCCAGGGGAGCAAACGGG
rnacentral:rRNA from 2 species